rnacentral:rRNA from 1 species
UGGGGAAUUUUGGACAAUGGGGGAAACCCUGAUCCAGCCAUCCCGCGUGUGCGAUGAAGGCCUUCGGGUUGUAAAGCACUUUUGGCAGGAAAGAAACGUCGCGGGUUAAUACCCCGCGGAACUGACGGUACCUGCAGAAUAAGCACCGGCUAACUACGUGCCAGCAGCCGCGGUAAUACGUAGGGUGCAAGCGUUAAUCGGAAUUACUGGGCGUAAAGCGUGCGCAGGCGGUUCGGAAAGAAAGAUGUGAAAUCCCAGAGCUUAACUUUGGAACUGCAUUUUUAACUACCGGGCUAGAGUGUGUCAGAGGGAGGUGGAAUUCCGCGUGUAGCAGUGAAAUGCGUAGAUAUGCGGAGGAACACCGAUGGCGAAGGCAGCCUCCUGGGAUAACACUGACGCUCAUGCACGAAAGCGUGGGGAGCAAACAGGAUUAGAUACCCUGGUAGUCCACGCCCUAAACGAUGUCAACUAGCUGUUGGGGUCUUCGGACCUUGGUAGCGCAGCUAACGCGUGAAGUUGACCGCCUGGGGAGUACGGUCGC